rnacentral:rRNA from 1 species
UCCCAGACUCCUACGGGAGGCAGCAGUGGGGGAUAUUGCACAAUGGGGGGAACCCUGAUGCAGCGACGCCGCGUGGGUGAGGAAGUACCCCGGUAUGUAAAGCCCUUUCGGCAGGGAAGAAAAUGACGGUACCUGGCGAAGAAGCCCCGGCUAACUACGUGCCAGCAGCCGCGGUAAUACGUAGGGGGCAAGCGUUGUCCGGAUUUACUGGGUGUAAAGGGCGUGCAGCCGGGCUGACAAGUCAGAUGUGAAAUCCCGCGGCUCAACCGCGGAACUGCAUUUGAAACUGUCAGUCUUGAGUACCGGAGAGGUCAUCGGAAUUCCUUGUGUAGCGGUGAAAUGCGUAGAUAUAAGGAAGAACACCAGUGGCGAAGGCGGAUGACUGGACGGCAACUGACGGUGAGGCGCGAAAGCGUGGGGAGCAAACAGGAUUAGAUACCCUAGUA